rnacentral:rRNA from 1 species
CUGUAGACAAACCAGCCGUCUCGAGCGGGCGGCCUCUGUCAUCUGGCCCCACGCACCGCUGUUCUCAUCCUCCUCCUGUUUUCUCAUCCUCCUCCUCGUCUCAGUCGCUCACCCCAUAUCUUCCUAUCUUUUUCUCCCCCAUCUCUCUGUCAAGCAGAGAACUACUCCCACGCAGCACACUCCCUCAACAUCUGCCGCUGUUUCUAAGGCCCCCCGCAGCUCGAUCCAGAUCGGGAUCGAGGCCACCACCGAGCCGCCUCCCCUCCUCCGUCCUCCACGCGCGCUCUCAGCGCCCGAUCCACCCCUUCCUCGUCCUCGCGCACGUUGCCCUGCUCUCUCCUUCUUCCUCUCAGUUCUUUCUUUUCCUUGGCAGGGAGCACGCAGGGAGCCUGGCAGCCGCUACCACAGCCGGGCGUCCUCGCGUCACCGCCGCCUCCGAGUUCGUCGGCCGCUGGCGCCCGUCCUCCCCUUUAUUUUGUAUUCGCAAGUUUUGCCACCUGACUCAAUUGUAAAUUGGGAUUUUUCAUGCAAGCAUCUGAUGAUUCGGAUUGUAAUCUCCUAUUAUUGGAUUUAUUUGUUCCUUGAAUCCCUCUUUUCACUUGCAGGAUUAAUUUCUUUGUUCUGUCCCAUCCUUUGCAUGUUGACUUGAUGCAGCGAGGCCUCCAAUGUAUAGAAGUCCAUGGCCGAGCCGCUCGCCUCCGUCCCCAUGACGCUCGUGGCCACAACCGACGCGGAUGCACUCUGCACCGCGCUGCUGUCUGCUACAGCAAGCCGCCGCCUCGUUCGACCUCCUGUCGCCGGCCCCGCCCCUCCUUUCUCCCUUGUUUUCUCCCUCACCUCCUUGCCUUCUUUCUGCCCAUGAGCCGCGACUGCCCGACAAGCCGUGCUCCGGCCUUGCUCGUCGUCACCGGCGACCCCGCCUCCGGAUCCGCCUCCCUACGACGGACAACCAGAAACCCUAUUCUC